rnacentral:rRNA from 1 species
UGGGGAAUUUUGGACAAUGGGCGAAAGCCUGAUCCAGCAAUGCCGCGUGUGUGAAGAAGGCCUUCGGGUUGUAAAGCACUUUUGUCCGGAAAGAAAUCCUUGGCUCUAAUACAGUCGGGGGAUGACGGUACCGGAAGAAUAAGCACCGGCUAACUACGUGCCAGCAGCCGCGGUAAUACGUAGGGUGCAAGCGUUAAUCGGAAUUACUGGGCGUAAAGCGUGCGCAGGCGGUUUGCUAAGACCGAUGUGAAAUCCCCGGGCUCAACCUGGGAACUGCAUUGGUGACUGGCAGGCUAGAGUAUGGCAGAGGGGGGUAGAAUUCCACGUGUAGCAGUGGAAUGCGUAGAGAUGUGGAGGAAUACCGAUGGCGAAGGCAGCCCCCUGGGCCAAUACUGACGCUCAUGCACGAAAGCGUGGGGAGCAAACAGGAUUAGAUACCCUGGUAGUCCACGCCCUAAACAUGUCAACUAGUUGUUGGGGAUUCAUUUCCUUAGUAACGUAGCUAACGCGUGAAGUUGACCGCCUGGGGAGUACGGUCGCAAGAUUAAAACUCAAAGGAAUUGACGGGGUCAUAGCUGUUUCCU